rnacentral:rRNA from 1 species
GACGAACGCUGGCGGCGUGCUUAACACAUGCAAGUCGAACGGAAAGGCCCUGCUUUUGUGGGGUGCUCGAGUGGCGAACGGGUGAGUAACACGUGAGUAACCUGCCCUUGACUUUGGGAUAACUUCAGGAAACUGGGGCUAAUACCGGAUAGGAGCUCCUGCUGCAUGGUGGGGGUUGGAAAGUUUCGGCGGUUGGGGAUGGACUCGCGGCUUAUCAGCUUGUUGGUGGGGUAGUGGUUUACCAAGGCUUUGACGGGUAGCCGGCCUGAGAGGGGGACCGGCCACAUUGCGACUGAGAUACGGACCAGUGGCGAACGGGGGGCAGCAGUGGGGAACCUUGCACAGUGAGGGGACGCGUGAGACGAAGGCGCUGGGUGCGGGAUGACGGCUUUCGGGGUGUGAACCGCUUUCGCCUGAGACGAGGCGUGAGUGACGGUAAUGGAUAAAGAAGCACCGGCUAACUACGUG